UGUGGGUGUAUACCAUCUGACCGACCUAAAAACUGACCGACCUGCAAAUUGACCGUCCUACAAACUGACCGUCUUGCAAACUGACCGUCCUGCAAAGUGACAGUUCUGUAAACUGACCGUCCUUAUGACGUCAUAAGAACAGUCGGACUGCCAUCAGCGGGUGUGUAUAAGUUGUUCAACUGGUGAGCUGGUUGACAGUCAAAAAUGUAGACAAAAAUAAACUUGAGUGGACUUGAAGGAUAGGAUCGUUCCACGUUUCCACUCUGUAUAAACUUUACACUUCACGGUUUAAAGGUUAUGUUUAUGUUAACACUGCUUAGUGCUUACAUGCUUACAGUGCGUUAUACAUUUUAUAAUUAUUUAUUAUUAUUAGAACUCACUUCAAGUUACAAAUCAAAGUCGAGUCAGAUCUGUAAUGCAGCAUCUGGACAAUGCUUCAACAAUGAUCAAGUCUGAACUUUCCUUGUUGGACUAGACCCAACAACAGUGAUUUUUCAUGUGAGGAAAAAACACUACAUCGAAAAUUUGAAACAAAUUAGUCACACAAGGUGUUUUUUUUAAUGAUAGAAAUAAAAAGUCUUGAUAUUCUACAUAA